rnacentral:rRNA from 1 species
CCUACGGUGGUCAGCAGUGGGGAAUAUUGCACAAUGGGGGAAACCCUGAUGCAGCGACGCCGCGUGAGUCAAGAAGUAUUUCGGUACGUAAAGCUCUAUCAGCAGGGAAGAAAAUGCCGGUACCUGACUAAGAAGCCCCGGCUAACUACGGGCCAGCAGCCGCGGUAAUACGUAGGGGGCAAGCGUUAUCCGGAUUUACUGGGUGUAAAGGGAGCGUAGGCGGCAGCGGAAGUCUGGAGUGAAAUCCCAUGGGUUAACCAUGGAACUGCUUUGGAAACUGUGCAGCUAGAGUGCAGGAGAGGUAAGCGGAAGUCCUGGUGUAGCGGUGAAAUGCGUAGAUAUUAGGAGGAACACCAGUGGCGAAGGCGGCUUACUGGACUGUAACUGACGUUGAGGCUCGAAAGCGUGGGGAGCAAACAGGAUUAGAUACCCGAGUAGUC